CGCGCCCGCGGCGCUCCAUCCCAAACACACACACAUUUUUCCCCCGGACUUGGAAAGUCACCCAAAGCCGCCCCAAGUGCAGGCAAACAGGCGUUGCUGACUGAAGGCAAAGGCCCUCGCCACCCCAUCCGCCCUUGCAGCUGUCACGGCCAUCAGCCCCUCCCGUAGAAGGGGGUCCUGCAGCUCCAGUGGUGUGCUUUGGAAUGGACUUCAGACCCCAGCCUCUUGGGGUGCAAAGGCAGCCUGACAGCAAAUUAACAGAAGCUAGCCCAGGGCUUCCAGGCUUGGGAGAGACCACUGCACUUCAGAACUGGCCAGGGGAAGACAUGGCAAGGCUGCCUGGGCAGGCUUUCAGAGGGAGGAUCAGGCCACACCUGGACGGGCGCAGUGACCCAUGGGAAGUAGGAACAGGAUCUUCACACACAAUCGAGCUACUUUUGUCAAUUUUCUCUGUGUUCUUAUUCCCCUCCUCACAUCCCCUCCAUGUUCUUGUUCAUACACAAGACGUUGUCCACAUUUUUGGAGAUUAGGAUCAGGUAAAAAGAAGGCAGAGGCCCUGCCUUUAGACUGGGGCAGGGCUUGAUUUCGAGCCCACCCAUCCUCACUCAUGCCAUGUGCCAAGGGGAGUAGCAUCUUGACACCUCUGGGUGGAGAUCCUGCUUUUUCACAUGGGCAGGAGGGAGCAGGUCACUAGGCUAUUGUCAUUUUUAGAUCAGCUGCUUGCCUACAGUCAGCCACGACAGCCUGGAAGCUGCAGGGCCCAGUUCUGGUUCUAAUUUGCCAUGUGCUCUACACAGAACUCAACCUCUUGGUCCUCGGUUUUUUGGUCAGAGCACUUAGGAUAAAGAACAUUGGCGGGAAGGAGGAUGAUAUAUGGAAGGAUGAGUGGGUAGGUGGGUGUAUGAAUGGAUGGAUGGAUGGAUGAUGGAUGGAUGGAUAAU